GGAGGCUGAGUCUGUGCGAGACGCGCAACUUUGCUCCCGUUGAAGAAGAAACCUGGUGCUUCUCGCUGGGUGCAACAUUUGCAGCUUGAACUGGAGAGGACGUUUGUCCAGGGGUCUCCAUGAACACGUACGAAAUCCGUUAAUGUCAGUUUUAUUUCAUGCAUAGGGACAUGGCUCUUGAUGGACCUCUUUGGGCUUGUUUUCUUAUUGGCUUGGAGGCUGCCUGCCUGACAGCUGCCGUCCAGAUAUGCUGGGCCUGGUUGCCCGGCUUGUUGCCCUCAGCCUGCCGCCCACCUGAACUCUUUUGGGAGCAGCCAUGAGGCUCCCCAGGAUGACAGAGGCCCUGAGGGACCAGGGCAGUCCCCAGAUUCUCCCUGUCGAUCGGGAGUUAGGAGAAUGUCAUUUUUUCGGGUGAGAAUCCGGGAUAAAUGGGUCCACAAAAAUUCCCUCCGUCUGAGACUGCAGAGAACUUUUUUGUGUUCCUUGGUAGUGGACGGCUAAGAGAAGUACAGAGUCAUGCUAAAAUUAACAUCGGCAUACUGCAGAUUAAAGUAAACAUCUCGUCGUGGUGAGCCAAACCCUCGGAAGGGCCGGUCUCAAUCCUGGAACGGUUCCACUUCCCUCACGCUGGCAGUUAACGGCGAUAGUUUCGGGAGUCCAUUCGGCUUCAAAGAUCCCAGCUGCCCUGGGCCAGUAGGAACAGUGUUCAUACGUGGGCUCGUGAUGGGCGAUCACCUCCUGGGUGAAAUGCAGAAUAACGAAGACCUCGCCAAGACCAUGAAACACCUCUUCGCCGCAGGCGGGAUUAGCUCGUUCAAGGGUUCAAGCCAGGGCUCCCAAAAGGUUCGCUCGUGCGACUUACCACGCCGACGACUGGGCUUUGGAGUCAGAGGUCGUGGGUUCGAAUGCCACCUGGCAGCCGGGUGACCUUGGGCAAGUCACUUCACUUCUCGGUGCCUCGGUGACCUCGUCUGUAAAAGGGGGAUGAAGACCGUGGGCCCCACGUGGGACGACCCGAUUGCCCCGUGUCUACCCCAGCGCUUAGAACGGUGCUCGGCACAUGGUCAGCGCUUAACAGAUACCAACAUUAUUGCCACGAUUAAUAGUAAAAUACUUUCAAGUAUGACGAGGCCGAUCACCUAGGCUGAGCGGCGGGCGGAUUCCGUUACCUUGGUCCACCGAUUGCCAAGAGCCUUUGUUAAUUCAGUCCUGUUAAUACGUCGAUCAUUCCUUGGGUUGGAUUUCAACAACGGUCGCGCGGCGUCCCGGGCUUAGACUUUCGACUCCGGAAAGAGAGUGGAUCGACCCCUCUUCUCUGGAUCGGACUCUCUCGAACGCGGCUCCCGCGGAAGGGUUCUGACCGAACGGCUUUUAUGUUUUUGGAGCUUUUUGUUAUCGGCCCCAUCUCAUCUGUCCGAGGUUCCCAGUGAGGUGGGGCCCGGGGGGAGGGAAGGGAGACACAACCACAGGUUUAAUCGACGUGUGAAAUAAAAGUCAGAUCAAAGUGCCCCGAAUCGUGAAGAAUCCAGCUAGUGAAAACCUAAACGGGCUUGUUUAAUAAUAAUAAUAAUAAUAAUAAUAAUGAUGAUGUUGGUAUUUGUUAAGCGCUUACUAUGUGCCGAGCACCGUUCUAAGCGCUGGGGUAGACACAGGGGAAUCGGGUUGUCCCACGUGGGGCUCACAGUUUUAAUCCCCAUUUUCCAGAUGAGGUAACUGAGGCACCGAGAAGCCAAGUGACUUGCCCAAAGUCACACAGCUGACGAGUGGCCGAGCCGGGAUUCGAACCCAUGACCUCGGACUCCAAAGCCCGGGCUCCUUCCACUGAGCCACGUUGUUUGUGUUGAACCGUUAAUACUUUACCCAUUAAGUACGCGUUUAUACACCUGAGACCAGUGAUAAAUAAUGAUCUCACUAGGGCCUCCUCUACCCCUUACCCGAGAAGCGGCGUGGCUCAGUGGAAAGAGCCCGGGCUUUGGAGUCAGGGGUCACGGG
rnacentral:lncRNA from 1 species